UCAGUAGCGGCGAGUGAAGCGGCAAAAGCUCAAAUUUGAAAUCUGGCGUCUUUGGCGUCCGAGUUGUAAUUUGAAGAAGGUAUCUUUGGGCCCGGCUCUUGUCUAUGUUCCUUGGAACAGGACGUCACAGAGGGUGAGAAUCCCGUGCGAUGAGAUGACCCGGGUCUGUGUAAAGUUCCUUCGACGAGUCGAGUUGUUUGGGAAUGCAGCUCUAAGUGGGUGGUAAAUUCCAUCUAAAGCUAAAUAUUGGCGAGAGACCGAUAGCGAACAAGUACAGUGAUGGAAAGAUGAAAAGAACUUUGAAAAGAGAGUGAAAAAGUACGUGAAAUUGUUGAAAGGGAAGGGCUUGAGAUCAGACUUGGUAUUUUGCAUGUUGCUCUCUCGGGGGCGGCCGCUGCGGUUUACCGGGCCAGCAUCGGUUUGGAGCGGCAGGAUAAUGGCGGAGGAAUGUGGCACGGCUUCUGCUGUGUGUUAUAGCCUCUGACGAUACUGCCAGCCUAGACCGAGGACUGCGGUUUUUUACCUAGGAUGUUGGCAUAAUGAUCUUAAGUCGCCCGUCUUGAAACACGGACCAAGGAGUCUAACGUCUAUGCGAGUGUUUGGGUGUAAAACCCGUACGCGUAAUGAAAGUGAACGAAGGUGGGGGCCUAUUAGGGUGCACCAUCGACCGAUCCUGAUGUGUUCGGAUGGAUUUGAGUAAGAGCAUAGCUGUUGGGACCCGAAAGAUGGUGAACUAUGCCUGAAUAGGGUGAAGCCAGAGGAAACUCUGGUGGAGGCUCGUAGCGGUUCUGACGUGCAAAUCGAUCGUCGAAUUUGGGUAUA
rnacentral:rRNA from 1 species